rnacentral:rRNA from 1 species
GAUGAACGCUGGCGGCGUGCCUAAUACAUGCAAGUCGAGCGAACAGACGAGGAACUUGCUCCUCUGACGUUAGCGGCGGACGGGUGAGUAACACGUGGAUAACCUACCUAUAAGACUGGGAUAACUUCGGGAAACCGGAGCUAAUACCGGAUAAUAUAUUGAACCGCAUGGUUCAAUAGUGAAAGACGGUUUUGCUGUCACUUAUAGAUGGAUCCGCGCCGCAUUAGCUAGUUGGUAAGGUAACGGCUUACCAAGGCAACGAUGCGUAGCCGACCUGAGAGGGUGAUCGGCCACACUGGAACUGAGACACGGUCCAGACUCCUACGGGAGGCAGCAGUAGGGAAUCUUCCGCAAUGGGCGAAAGCCUGACGGAGCCACGCCGCGUGAGUGAUGAAGGUCUUCGGAUCGUAAAACUCUGUUAUUAGGGAAGAACAAAUGUGUAAGUAACUAUGCACGUCUUGACGGUCCCUAAUCAGAAAGCCCCGGCUAACUACGUG